rnacentral:rRNA from 1 species
GAGGAGCCCGCGCCCGAUUAGCUAGUUGGUAGGGUAACGGCCUACCAAGGCAAUGAUCGGUAGCUGGUCUGAGAGGAUGGCCAGCCACACUGGAACUGAGACACGGUCCAGACUCCUACGGGAGGCAGCAGUGGGGAAUCUUGCGCAAUGGGCGAAAGCCUGACGCAGCGACGCCGCGUGGGGGAUGAAGCUUCUCGGAGUGUAAACCCCUUUCGACUGGGACGAAUGCCUCGCAAGAGGAGUGACGGUACCAGUAGAAGAAGCCCCGGCUAACUACGUGCCAGCAGCCGCGGUAAGACGUAGGGGGCCAGCGUUGUUCGGAAUUACUGGGUGUAAAGGGUUCGUAGGCGGUGUGGCAAGUCGGGAGUGAAAUCUAUGGGCUUAACCCAUAGUCUGCUUCCGAAACUGCUGUGCUGGAGUGUGGGAGAGGCGCGUGGAAUUGUAGGUGUAGCGGUGAAAUGCGUAGAUAUCUGCAGG